UACGAAGGGGGCUAGCGUUGUUCGGAAUUACUGGGCGUAAAGGGCGCGUAGGCGGUGCUUCAAGUCAGGCGUGAAAGCCCCGGGCUCAACCUGGGAACUGCGCUUGAGACUGGAGAACUAGAGUUCGGGAGAGGAUGGUGGAAUUCCCAGUGUAGAGGUGAAAUUCGUAGAUAUUGGGAAGAACACCGAUGGCGAAGGCAGCCAUCUGGACCGACACUGACGCUGAGGCGCGAAAGCGUGGGGAGCAAACAGG
rnacentral:rRNA from 1 species